CCUCCCCUGCCCUUAUUGGAGGUUUACUAUACAUGGACAAAAUUAAAGGAUAUAUGUAAAUCUUCUGUUUAUGAAAUUUGACAACAUAAUGCAAUAUUCUGUUAUUUGUUUUUCAUUUAACAAUAUAUCUUGAAUACAUGUACAUGGGGAAAUUCUUCAUGUAACAUCAGGCAAUUAAGAAAUGGUAGUAUAUUCUUUUGUUUAAAUAAUAGCCUACCUAUGUAAUUCAGAUUAUUUUCAUUUUCAUUAACUAAAGUUCGUUACUGUAAAUCAGCAUGAACACUGACUCAGUCACUGUACUCAAUGUUGAUUAUUUACAUUGUAUUUUGUAUAAAUUACAAAACACGUUGUUGGAAUGAUGUCAAGGCUGUUAAGUAAUGUAAUACUUGUAUAAAUACUGCCGAAUUGCCAUCUCAGAAGACUAUAAUAAAUACAUUUUGUAAUCAAUUUUAUAUGAUAGAACCCAUAGUAUACCAUUCAAAAUUAAUCAUGCACAUAUUUUAAAAACGGUAUCAGUCUCUGAUUUCUGUCACUUGUUGAAUUAGGGUAUGGACUGAAGAAACUGAAGGGGAGGGCAGCCUCUAUGGGAAGACCAACAGUCUCGAAUCAUCCCCACCCCUGAGAUCUCCCAGACACUUAGCCACCAACCAGGGUAUCUUUGAACUUGGGACAUCUUGCCACAUUCUAGGUGCUGAGACUACAUUCAGGCAAUUUCCAGCUUUCUUUCCUUUAUCUUAGUAAGAUGUGUUAGAUUAAAUAUGUUAAUAUUAUGCAGUAAAUCCUCCAUAUGUUUACUUAUA